rnacentral:rRNA from 1 species
CACGUAGUUAGCCGGGGCUUCUUGGUCGGGUACCGUCUUUCUUCUUCCCCGCUGACAGGGCUUUACGCGCCGAAACGCUCCUUCACCCACGCGGCGUUGCUGCAUCAGGGUUUCCCCCAUUGUGCAAUAUUCCCCGCUGCUGCCUCCCGUAGGAGUUUGGGCCGUGUCUCAGUCCCAAUGUGGCCGUCCGCCCUCUCAGGCCGGCUACCGAUCGUCGCUUUGGUGGGCCGUUACCCCGCCAACUGGCUAAUCGGGCGCGGGCCCAUCCCGUGCCGCCGGAGCUUUCCGCAUACACCCAUGCGGCUGUAUGCGCUUAUGCGGUAUUAGCGCCUGUUUCCAGGCGGUAUCCCCCGGCACGGGGCAGGUUGCCCACGCGUUACUCACCCGUCCGCCACUAAGUAUAUAACCUUCCAUCCGUAAACUUCCGCUUAUAUACCCCGUUCGACUUGCAUGUGUUAGGCACGCCGCCAGCGUUCAUCCUGAGCCAGGAUCAACUCU